GAUGAACGCUGGCGGCGUGCCUAAUACAUGCAAGUCGAGCGAACGGACGAGAAGCUUGCUUCUCUGUUGUUAGCGGCGGACGGGUGAGUCACACGUGUAACACCUCCCUAUCAGACUGGUAUAAUUUCGGGACACCGGAGCUAAUACCGGAUAAUAUUUUGCACCGUAUGGUUCAAAAGUGAAAGUCGGUCUUGCUGUCACUACUAGAUGGAUCCGCGCUGCUUUGGCUAGUUGUUAAGGUAACGGCUUACCAAGGCUACGAUGCAUAGCCGACCUGAGAGGGUGAUCGGCCACACUGGAAGGGAGACACGGUCCAGACUCCUACGGGAGGCAGCAGUAGGGAAUCUUCCGCAAGGGGGGAAAGCCUGACGGAGCAACGCCGCGUGAGUGAUGAAGGUCUUCGGAUCGGAAAACUCUGUUAUUAGGGAAGAACAUAUGUGUAAGUAACUGUGCACAGCUUGACGGUACCUAAUCAGAAAGCCACGGCUAACUACGUG
rnacentral:rRNA from 1 species